rnacentral:tRNA from 1 species
GCCAGUAUAGCUCAGUGGUAGAGCAGCGGUUUUGUAAACCGUUGGUCGGAGGUUCAAAUCCUCUUACUGGCUCCA